AUUGAACGCUGGCGGCAUGCCUUACACAUGCAAGUCGAACGGCAGCAUGAUCUAGCUUGCUAGAUUGAUGGCGAGUGGCGAACGGGUGAGUAAUACAUCGGAACGUGCCCUGUAGUGGGGGAUAACUAGUCGAAAGAUUAGCUAAUACCGCAUACGACCUGAGGGUGAAAGUGGGGGACCGCAAGGCCUCAUGCUAUAGGAGCGGCCGAUGUCUGAUUAGCUAGUUGGUGAGGUAAAGGCUCACCAAGGCGACGAUCAGUAGCUGGUCUGAGAGGACGAUCAGCCACACUGGGACUGGGACACGGCCCAGACUCCUACGGGAGGCAGCGGUGGGGAAUUUUGGGCAAUGGGGGCAACCCUGAUCCAGCAAUGCCGCGUGUGUGAAGAAGGCCUUCGGGUUGUAAAGCACUUUUGUCCGGAAAGAAAUCGCACUUACUAAUAUUAGGUGUGGAUGACGGUACCGGAAGAAUAAGGACCGGCUAACUACGUGCCAGCCGCCGCCGUAAAAC
rnacentral:rRNA from 1 species